rnacentral:rRNA from 1 species
CAUAGCGACUAUCGUGGCAUAUCAAUAAGCGGAGGAAAAGAAACUAACAAGGAUUCCCUUAGUAACGGCGAGUGAAGCGGGAAGAGCUCAAAUUUGAAAUCUUCAAGGUUUUACCUUGACGAAUUGUAGUUUAAAGAAGUGUUUUCUGUUGAAGUUUCGGUAAAAGUUCUUUGGAAUAGGACAUCAUAGAGGGUGAGAAUCCCGUAUUUGAUCGUUACUUUUCCAGCUGUGUGAUACACUUUCAAAGAGUCGGAUUGUUUGGGAAUGCAGUCCAAAAUGGGUGGUAAAUUUCAUCUAAAGCUAAAUAUUGGCGAGAGACCGAUAGCGAACAAGUACCGUGAGGGAAAGAUGAAAAGAACUUUGAAAAGAGAGUUAAACAGUACGUGAAAUUGUCAAAAGGGAAGCGUUUGACACCAGUGUUGUGUAUUUCGAAAAUCAAUUCAAUAGUUUUUGAUUCUAAGUAGUAUUGACUUCAUCAGCUUGCUGCUUUCUUCUCAGGAAUUAUUGAAUGCACUUUUCAGUUAACAAGUCAACAUCAAUAUCUUUUGUUGUAAAAGGGUAAGAGGAAGGUGGCUUGCGCUUCGGCUCAAGUGUUUAUAGCCUUUUAUCUCUGCAAUCGGAGAGAUUGAGGUCUGCAGCGUAGAUCCUUCGGGGUUAGAUACAUUGGUGCUAAGCUAUAGCCUUGUAUAGACAACUUGUUGACUAUGCUCAGUCAUGUAGCUUACUCGCUGAUGCUAUUUUACCUACGCUUAGGAUGUUGAUAGUCACAGCGUGUAC